UCUUGGUCAUUUAGAGGAAGUAAAAGUCGUAACAAGGUUUCCGUAGGUGAACCUGCGGAAGGAUCAUUAAAUAAUUUAGAUGGCCUUUGCUAGUUUUCUAGCGAAUGGUUCAUUCUUUUUUACUGUGAACUGUUUUAAUUUUUCAGCGUCUGAGGAAUGUCUUUUAGCCAUAGGGAUAGGCUACUAGAAUGUUAACCGAGCUGAAAGUCAGGCUUAGGCCUGGUAUCCUAUUAAUUAUUUACCAAAAGAAUUCAGUAUUAUAAUUGUAACAUAAGCGUAAAAAACUUAUAAAACAACUUUUAACAACGGAUCUCUUGGUUCUCGCAUCGAUGAAGAACGUAGCAAAGUGCGAUAACUAGUGUGAAUUGCAUAUUCAGUGAAUCAUCGAGUCUUUGAACGCAACUUGCGCUCAAUGGUAUUCCAUUGAGCACGCCUGUUUCAGUAUCAAAAACACCCCACAUUCAUAAUUUUGUUGUGAAUGGAAAUGAGAGUUUCGGCUUUAUUGCUGAAUUCUUUAAAAUUAUUAGGCCUGAACUAUUGUUCUUUCUGCCUGAACAUUUUUUUAAUAUAAAGGAAUGCUCUAGUAAAAAGACUAUCUCUGGGGCCUCCCAAAUAAAUCAUUCUUAAAUUUGAUCUGAAAUCAGGCGGGAUUACCCGCUGAACUUAAGCAUAUCAAUAAGCGGAGGA
rnacentral:rRNA from 2 species